rnacentral:rRNA from 1 species
CAGUCGCCGCGGUAACACGAAGGGGGCUAGCGUUGUUCGGAAUUACUGGGCGUAAAGCGCACGUAGGCGGAUAUUUAAGUCAGGGGUGAAAUCCCGCAGCUCAACUGCGGAACUGCCUUUGAUACUGGGUAUCUUGAGUAUGGAAGAGGUUAGUGGAAUUGCGAGUGUAGAGGUGAAAUUCGUAGAUAUUCGCAGGAACACCAGUGGCGAAGGCGACCACCUGGACUGAUACUGACACUGAGGUGCGUAAGCGUGGGGAGCAAACAGGAUUAGAUACCCCGGUAGUCCCUGUCUCUUAUAC